GUCUACAGCCAUACCACCCUGAAUAUGCCUGAUCUUGUCUGAUCUCGGAAGCUAAGCAGGGUCGGCCCUGGUUAGUACUUGGAUGGGAGAAUUCUAUCUUCAGCAAAAAAGGAGUGUGGUUGUUU
rnacentral:rRNA from 1 species